rnacentral:rRNA from 1 species
GACGAACGCUGGCGGCGUGCCUAAUACAUGCAAGUAGAACGCUGAAGGAGGAGCUUGCUCUUCUGGAUGAGUUGCGAACGGGUGAGUAACGCGUAGGUAACCUGCCUGGUAGCGGGGGAUAACUAUUGGAAACGAUAGCUAAUACCGCAUAACAGUAGAUGUUGCAUGACAUUUGCUUAAAAGGUGCAAUUGCAUCACUACCAGAUGGACCUGCGUUGUAUUAGCUAGUUGGUGGGGUAACGGCUCACCAAGGCGACGAUACAUAGCCGACCUGAGAGGGUGAUCGGCCACACUGGGACUGAGACACGGCCCAGACUCCUACGGGAGGCAGCAGUAGGGAAUCUUCGGCAAUGGACGGAAGUCUGACCGAGCAACGCCGCCUGAGUGAAGAAGGUUUUCGGAUCGUAAAGCUCUGUUGUAAGAGAAGAACGAGUGUGAGAGUGGAAAGUUCACACUGUGACGGUAUCUUACCAGAAAGGGACGGCUAACUACGUG